UAACUGGGCCCGAUUGGGGCCCGCCUUGGGUGUGAGAGUGGCCACCGCCGCCACUGAAGUUGAUUCAAGAGCUGGCGAUGGCCCUGUGCCGGGUUCGCAGGUGAAACAGGUUCAAGGUUGUGUACAUCCCCAGAACAGCCACUGUUGAAGUCAUCCAAGGAAUCUCUGGGCAGGCACUGGUGUGAACUUCAGCCAACGGGACCAGAGCCUAAGGACCCACCUCCUGAGGGCCACCUCUGGAACUUCCUACAGGAAGACAGCGACAAUUUGAAUGCUUCUGCCUGUUUCUGUACCAUGGACCUCUUUGUGGGCUCCUGGGACAAGCCUCUCCCAGGGACAUUCCUGCUGGGUGUUCUCAAGUCCAGCAGAAAGGGAAAGGGUUAUCCAGGGAAGCUAUAGGCUACAGGGCUAGGACAUCUGGAGCAGAUCCGGUCCCUGGAGAUGGAGGGACAGACUCAGUCCAGACCUCUCCAAACCGACAUGGCCUCUGAAGGGGACCCUGCUUGUCACCACAGUGGUAUCAAACUCUGUUCUGCAGAUGAGAGGAGGUGUAUGUGGCCUCUGGGUUAAGAAACUGCAAAACUGACUCAUUGCUGGACAGCUACUUACUGGGGAGGUCCUCUGAACUAGGGUUCUUCCACUUCUGUACUGGAAAUGAACAAGACCACUGAGACUAGGAGACCUAGCAGAGUCUGGACCUGACUUUUGGUUGGAUUGCCCAGACAAGGAGACUGCCUACCCCACACUGGUACCUGGUAAGGUCCUAACAUCACCCAUGUAAGGUAGCUCACUUGGCCAGGUCCUGCCCUGUCACGGACCAGACAUUUGUGGGCAGCUUGUCUGUUCCUCAUUUCAGCAUACAUCACACCAUUGUUUCCAAAGUAAAGUUGCAAGUUCCACAGUAAACUUUUCAUCAACUCA